rnacentral:rRNA from 1 species
GACGAACGCUGGCGGCGUGCUUAACACAUGCAAGUCGAACGAUGAAGCUGGAGCUUGCUCCGGUGGAUUAGUGGCGAACGGGUGAGUAACACGUGAGCAAUCUGCCCUUCACUCUGGGAUAACUGCGGGAAACUGUAGCUAAUACCGGAUAUGACUCCUGGGGGCAUCCCUGGGAGUGGAAAGAAUUUCGGUGAAGGAUGAGCUCGCGGCCUAUCAGCUAGUUGGUGAGGUAAUGGCUCACCAAGGCGACGACGGGUAGCCGGCCUGAGAGGGUGACCGGCCACACUGGAAUUGAGACACGGUCCAGACUCCUACGGGAGGCAGCAGUGGGGAAUAUUGCACAAUGGGCGAAAGCCUGAUGCAGCAACGCCGCGUGAGGGAUGAAGGCCUUCGGGUUGUAAACCUCUUUUAGCAGGGAAGAAGGGUAACUGACGGUACCUGCAGAAAAAGCACCGGCUAACUACGUG